CCCUCAAUUACUUGAUUAAGUCUCAUGUUGCCACUGAUCACAGAAAGUCUAUAAUUUUUAAAGCAUAUGAUAGCAUUUUAUGAGCAAACCAGAAAAUGACAAAGUUUUUGUCAACUAUAAAAAAUGAAAAGUUUGUCAGUAUUUGGCUUUGUUGCAUCAGUUAAACAUUGAGAAGAUUGAGAUGGCUUUUAUUACAAACCAAACCGGUUACUUGCAAAUAAGGCACACAACUUUAUUAGUUUUAAUUCAGUUUUCUUUUAGUCAUCUAGCUUUCAAUUUUCGGUAUUAUUUUGGAGUAUGUUUUCAAUAUUAAAAGAUUAAGAA